rnacentral:sRNA from 1 species
UUCAAGGCCUAAGGGAGCAAGUCGAAUGGUAACAGGAAACAGCUUGCUGUUUCGCUUAUGACUGGCGGACGGGUGAAUAAUGUCUGGGAAACUGCCUGAUGGAGGGGGAUAACUACUGGAAACGGUAGCUAAUACCGCAUAACGUCGCAAGACCAAAGAGGGGGACCUUCGGGCCUCUUGCCAUCAGAUGUGCCCAGAUGGGAUUAGCUAGUAGGUGGGGUAACGGCUCACCUAGGCGACGAUCCCUAGCUGGUCUGAGAGGAUGACCAGCCACACUGGAACUGAGACACGGUCCAGACUCCUACGGGAGGCAGCAGUGGG